GAUGAACGCUAGCUACAGGCUUAACACAUGCAAGUCGAGGGGUAGCAGGGUAGCAAUACCGCUGACGACCGGCGCACGGGUGAGUAACACGUAUCCAACCUUCCCAUAACUCGGGGAUAGCCUUUCGAAAGAAAGAUUAAUACCCGAUAGUACUUUUUCAAGGCAUCUUGAGAAAGUUAAAGAUUUAUUGGUUAUGGAUGGGGAUGCGUUCCAUUAGAUAGCUGGUGAGGUAACGGCUCACCAAGUCUUCGAUGGAUAGGGGUUCUGAGAGGAAGGUCCCCCACAUUGGUACUGAGACACGGGCCAAACUCCUACGGGAGGCAGCAGUGAGGAAUAUUGGUCAAUGGGCGAGAGCCUGAACCAGCCAAGUAGCGUGAAGGAUGAAGGUCCUAUGGAUUGUAAACUUCUUUUAUAGUAGAAUAAAGUGAUCCACGUGUGGAUUUUUGUAUGUAUGCUAUGAAUAAGGAUCGGCUAACUCCGUGCCAGCCGCCGCCGUAA
rnacentral:rRNA from 1 species